CAACCCUUUUCUUUUUGGGAACAGAGCCACGUGACCAUGGUUCCUCUUUAUAGAAAUGUGACCUGAAGUGCCACAGCAGUGGCAUUUGUGUGUGUGGUCGGGAAUUCCCAGAUCUCCCUCGACCAGGUCGGCGCGUGGGGACUUGGCUUUUCUCAGCCUUUUAGAGACGGAUCUGAAAAAGCCCAAGGAGUCAGGGUUUCUAAGUGGACCUGUACAAAUGAGGACUGAGGUGGCGGUGAGACCCGGGUCUGGGGUCUCCCUGGCACCGAGGGGGUGACGAGGGGCCACCAUGCUCAUCCAGGCACCCACAGGGCUUUCAAACCCGUUGAAUUUAUGCCUACUGUUCCAUUAUGGGAACGCUAAGGAUUUGGGAGUUAUUUAUAUCCCACGGCUCAAGGUCAUUGCCAAGGUCUGACUGCAAACAUUCAAAAAACUGCAACCUCCAGCAUAAAUGACUUACGAUCGGCAGCCCCAGCUGCUUACCCUCUCUCAGAUUAACCUCAAGAGAGGUGUCUUUCACGGAAUGAGUUUUAUUUAUUUAUUUUUUUCUUUUUUUGAGCCGGAGUCUCGCUCUGUCGCCCAGGCUGGAGCGCAGUGGUGCGAUCUCAGCUCACUGCAAGCUCCACCUCCCGGGUUCCUGCCGUUCUCCUGCCUCAGCCUCUUGAGUAGCUGGGAUCACAGGCGCCCGCCACUGCACCUGGCUGAUUUUUUAAAUGUAUUAUUAUUUUUUUUUUAGUAGAGACGGGGUUUCACCAUGUUAGCCAGGAUGGUCUCGAUCUCCCGACCCCGUGAUCCGCCCGCCUCGGCCUCCCAAAGUUCAUGGAAUGCGUUUUCCAAGGAAGGGUGGCUUGCAUCUCUGGAAAAUGUGAGCAUUUCCCGGCUAAGCGGCUCUGCACAAUCUCCUUCCCAGAGAAUUUGCACAUUUGCACACCUGUGUUCUCACCCCACACGGACCCUCCCAGCGACCCUCUCUUCUCCCUCGACAACACAGAACAAGAAGAAACGGCCAGCCCGGCAGCUCACCUGUGCAGAAGCAGCGGCAGAAGUAGCAGGUGAGAGCUCGGAGGUUCUCCAGGUAAGGGAAUCCAAGGCCUAAGUCGACGGCCGUGCCUCAGAGCCCAGGACUCAGGGGGCCAGCCACCAGCUUGCAAGCCCUGGCCGUGCAGAGUGCUUGAGAAAGUGCUUGCUGGCGGCAGACGGCUGCCCUUCCAGUUCCAUCUCUCCAGCAAACGUUGCAAGGGUGGCCGCCCCGCCGGGUGGCCCGCCGGCUGGCACGACCAUCUCUGAAUGCAAAUUCUGCGAACUCCACCUCCAAGCGGACAAGCACGGUGACGACCCAGGCUUAGGUGGAAAGGAAGCCUGUUGUGAAAUUUCCUGUGUAACUGUCUGAACACUGGUGUGCAGGGCUGAGCUUGCCGGAGUCACGUUGCUCGGUCUCUGGGCGACACCGUUAACCGCCCACAUCCCUCUCACCGGCUCCCAGGGGGCCCUCCUCUGAGAAAACCCUGAGAGUUUUCUGGAGAGGAAAAAAGGGAGAACGAUUUUCCUCCAUGUUGUCACUAGCGGUGAAGACCAGAUUCCUGUUUCUUCUGAAAUUAAAACAAAACAAACCAAAACAAACAAACAAACAAAAAAACCAGAACACGUUUCCUUUUAGAUUCUAAAGCUGUGCGAAUUGCGACUUCUCCUGGUACACAGCCAGACUGUGACAAGCCAGCAGACCUUGGGCACUGAUCAUUCCGGCUCUGAGACUGGGUCACGGACGGGACAGGUUCAUACCCUGCACAUCCCCUGAGGAUUGGCGAGUUGCACGACUGAGGAGCAGGGUUCCGAGUUUCGGCAUCCUUGCUUGUGAGGAGCGAUGGUGGGCUCUUGUCAUUCGUGCGAGGAGGAGGUUGAGACGGAAGGAUCUGUCACCCAGAAAGAAUGAGUGAAUAUUGAACCACGGCUCAGGGAAAAGACAGGGUACAAACCCUCAAGCCAGCCUGGGUGUGGGAGCUCACGUCUGUAGUCCCAGCUCUUUGGGAGGCCAAGGCAGGUGGAUCACUUGAGGUCAGGAGUUUGAGACCAGCCUGGCCAACAUAGUGAAAUCCCAU
rnacentral:lncRNA from 1 species